rnacentral:rRNA from 1 species
CCCUUAGAUGUUCUGGGCCGCACGCGCGCUACACUGGCGAUGUCAGAGAGUGUCUCCUUCACCGAGAGGUGUGGGUAAUCUUUUAAACAUCGUCGUGCUGGGGAUAGAUCAUUGCAAUUUUUGAUCUUAAACGAGGAAUUCCUAGUAAGCGCGAGUCAUCAGCUCGCGCUGAUUACGUCCCUGCCCUUUGUACACACCGCCCGUCGCUACUACCGAUUGAAUGGUUUAGUGAGGCCUUCUGACUGGCGCCGCUACUCUGGCAACAGAGCGGCGGAUGCCGGGAAGUUGGUCAAACUUGAUCAUUUAGAGGAAGUAAAAGUCGUAACA